rnacentral:rRNA from 1 species
CCUACGGGAGGCAGCAGUGAGGAAUAUUGGUCAAUGGACGAGAGUCUGAACCAGCCAAGUAGCGUGAAGGAUGACUGCCCUAUGGGUUGUAAACUUCUUUUAUAUGGGAAUAAAAUGUUCCACGUGUGGGAUUUUGUAUGUACCAUAUGAAUAAGGAUCGGCUAACUCCGUGCCAGCAGCCGCGGUAAUACGGAGGAUCCGAGCGUUAUCCGGAUUUAUUGGGUUUAAAGGGAGCGUAGGUGGAUUGUUAAGUCAGUUGUGAAAGUUUGCGGCUCAACCGUAAAAUUGCAGUUGAAACUGGCAGUCUUGAGGACAGUAGAGGUGGGCGGAAUUCGUGGUGUAGCGGUGAAAUGCUUAGAUAUCACGAAGAACUCCGAUUGCGAAGGCAGUUCACUGGACUGCAAAUGACACUGAGGCUCGAAAGUGUGGGUAUCAAACAGGAUUAGAUACCCCUGUAGUC